UUGGCAGGCUACAAAGUGGUAAUAACAAGUUUUGGAAACUAAAGUUGGAUUCUGGAGUAUUAAAGAUAGUGCAGAGACUUUAACCCAAAGUCAACACUUGUGAGAAAUUUGGAAUGAUCCACUUCCCACAAUCUCCUCAGCUCAGAGUCUGACAAUUGUAAUUAUUUUUCAUCAGCCUGACAGCCAAGUUUGCUUCCUGUUGUGAUAAUAUACCUGCUACUAUCCUGAUGACAUUGGAGAAAUUGUUCUUUCUUUGAUAGAAACCUUGUGGAGAAUGCAAUAAUUUGAUUCCUGACUUUGAAAGGAGGAAAGCCUUUAUAUAAAAUCUGGUCUUUUGAUUAUUACUAAGUGGGCAUCCACUGUCGUGACCGUUUUUCACCAGUAGAAGAAAAAACUAUGAGGGCUUCUCAAAAGUUUGAAAGACUCCAUCAAGAAGUGGGAGAUUCACUAUCUUUGGAAGUUUACAUAGAGGUAUUUCUUUGAUCAUCUAUCAGGAAAAAGAGGUUUCUAUUUAGCUGUGGUAUGGACUACAUGACUUUGGGGGUCUCUAUGAUUCUAUGAAAUUCCCUCUCUUUUCCUAA